rnacentral:lncRNA from 1 species
CCUAUGGGUCCCUAUGGGUCCUUUGGGUGCUGGCCAAGGAGCUCAGGGUCCGAUUGGUCAACCCCGACCUCAGCAUCACGGUAAUAGGGGGUCUAUGGGGCUCCUAUGGGGCUCUAUGGGUCCCUAUGGGGUCUAUAUGGGGUCUCUAUGGGGUCUAUGGGGUUUAUAUGGGGCCUAUGGGGUCUAUGGGGCUCCUAUGGGUCUCUAUGGGUCCCUAUGGGUCCCUAUGGGGCUCUAUGGGUCCCUAUGGGUCUCUAUGGGGUUUAUAUGGGGUUUAUAUGGGGCCUGUAUGGGGUCUAUGGGGUCUAUAUGAGGUCUAUGGGUCUCCUAUGGGUCCUAUAUGGGGUCUAUGGGGCCAAUAUGGGGGUCUAUGGGGCUCCUAUGGGUCCUAUAUGGGGUCUAUGGGGCCUAUAUGGGGGUCUAUGGGGCUCCUAUGGGGUCUUAUGGGGCUCCUAUGGGGCUCCUAUGGGGUCUAUGGGGUCUAUAUGGGGCUUAUGGGUCUCCAUUGGGGCCUAUGGGUCUCUUAUGAGUCCCCAUUGGGGCCUAUAUGGGGUCUAUGGGGCUCCUAUGGGGUCUAUAUGGGGCCUAUAUGGGGUCUAUGGGGCUCCUAUGGGGUCUCUGGGUCUCUAUUGGGGUCUGUGGGUCUCCAUUGGGGCUUGUGGGUCCUAUGGGUCUCUAUGGGGUCUAUGGGGUCUAUAUGGGGCCUAUGGGGUCUAUGGGGCUCCUAUGGGGCUCCUAUGGGUCCCCUAUGGGGUCUAUAUGGGGCCUAUAUGGGGUCUAUGGGGCUCCUAUGGGUCCCCUAUGGGGUCUAUGGUGUUUAUAUGGGGCCUAUAUGGGGUCUAUGGGGCUCCUAUGGGUCUCCUAUGGGUCUCCAUUGGGGUCUGUGGGAUCUAUGGGGUCUAUGGGGUCUAUAUGGGGCCUAUGGGGUCUAUGGGGCUCCUAUGGGUCUCCUAUGGGUCUCCAUUGGGGUCUAUGGGGCCAAUAUGGGGUCUAUGGGGCUCCUAUGGGUCCUAUAUGGGGUCUAUGGGGCCAAUAUGGGGGUCUGUGGGGCUCCUAUGGGUCCUAUAUGGGGUCUAUGGGGCCAAUAUGGGGCCUAUGGGGUCUGUGGGUCUCCUAUGGGUCCCCAUUGGGGCCUAUAGGUCUCCUAUGGGUCUAUGGGUCUCCUAUGGGUCCCCAUUGGGGCCUGUGGGUCUCCAUUAGGGCCUAUAUGGGUCGCUAUGGGGUCGCUAUGGGGUCUCUAUGGGUCCCUAUGGGUCUCUAUGGGUCCCUAUGGGUCUCUAUGGGUCUCUAUGGGUCUCUAUGGGUCCCUAUGGGUCUCUAUGGGUCUCUAUGGG